rnacentral:lncRNA from 1 species
AGCUGGUAGGCAAAUUGCCCCUAAAACUAGCAUUGAGUUUAUCAGAACAUCUUGUAGUUCAACGACUUACCCUAAACUUUGUUACGAAUCUCUCUUAACACAGGCUAGCAUGAUCCAAACAAGCCCCCAACUCAUCGCCCAUGCAGCCCUAAACGUGACCCUUUCAACCGCCAAGUCAACCUCGGCCAUGAUGGUGAAGCUUGCCAAAAGCCAAGGAUUGAAGCCUACAGAGGUGGGCGCCAUGCAAGAUUGCGUGGAGGAAUUGGAGGACACGAUAGAUGAGCUGAGAAAGUCAAUCAGCGAGAUGGGUCAGAUUAAAGGCUCCAAUUUUGGACUAAUGAUUAACGAUAUACAGACAUGGGUUAGCGCUGCUUUGACGGAUGAGAACACCUGCGCCGACGGGUUUGGAGGGAAAAACAUGAACGGCAGUAUAAAGACUGCUGUGAGAUCCAAGAUUGUCACAAUCGCUCAUUUGACAAGUAAUGC